rnacentral:rRNA from 1 species
UACGUAGGGUGCAAGCGUUGUCCGGAAUUAUUGGGCGUAAAGAGCUCGUAGGCGGUUCGUCACGUCGGCUGUGAAAUCCCGAGGCUCAACCUCGGGUCUGCAGUCGAUACGGGCGGACUGGAGUACUGCAGGGGGAGACUGGAAUUCCUGGUGUAGCGGUGAAAUGCGCAGAUAUCAGGAGGAACACCGGUGGCGAAGGCGGCCCGCUGGGCAACUGCUGACACUGAGGCGCGACAGCGUGGGGAGCAAACAGG